rnacentral:snRNA from 1 species
GUGCUCACUUCUACAGCACAAAUACUAAAAUUGGAAUGAUACAGGGAAGAUUAGCAUGGCCCCUGUGCAAGGAUGACACUCAAAUUCAUGAAUUCCAUAUUUUU